AUGCGCCACCUCGGGCUCCGCCCGGACGCCGCGCACUACAACGCGCUCCUCGAGGGCCUCCUCGCUCGGGCGCACCUCCGCCUCGCCGACCGCUUCCUCCUCCAGAUGGCCGACGACGGGGUCGCGCGGAACCGGCGCACCUACAUGCUCCUGCUGGACGCCUACGCCACUCACCAUGCAGGUGCGCACCUGAAUCUCGACCCAGAGUGGCGUCGAACAGUUGACACGUCCUUCUCGCCGGGAAUUUGUUUACGGUUUUCCACGCGACUUUGA
rnacentral:rRNA from 1 species